AACGAACGCUGGCGGCAGGCUUAACACAUGCAAGUCGAACGCCCUCUUCGGAGGGAGUGGCAGACGGGUGAGUAACACGUGGGAACCUACCUAGGGGUACGGAAUAACUCGGGGAAACUCGUGCUAAUACCGUAUACGACCUUCGGGUGAAAGAUUUAUCGCCCCUAGAUGGGCCCGCGCUGGAUUAGCUAGUUGGUGGGGUAAAGGCUCACCAAGGCGACGAUCCAUAGCUGGUCUGAGAGGAUGAUCAGCCACACUGGGACUGAGACACGGCCCAGACUCCUACGGGAGGCAGCAGUGGGGAAUCUUGGACAAUGGGCGCAAGCCUGAUCCAGCCAUGCCGCGUGAGUGAUGAAGGCCUUAGGGUUGUAAAGCUCUUUCGCCAGGGAAGAUAAUGACUGUACCUGGAUAAGAAGCCCCGGCUAACUCC
rnacentral:rRNA from 1 species